AUUGAACGCUGGCGGCAUGCCUUACACAUGCAAGUCGAACGGCAGCGGGCCUUCGGGUGCCGGCGAGUGGCGAACGGGUGAGUAAUGCAUCGGAACGUGCCAUUGAGUGGGGGAUAACGUAGCGAAAGUUACGCUAAUACCGCAUAUUCUGUGAGCAGGAAAGCAGGGGACCGCAAGGCCUUGCGCUCUUUGAGCGGCCGAUGUCAGAUUAGCUAGUUGGUGAGGUAAAGGCUUACCAAGGCGACGAUCUGUAGCGGGUCUGAGAGGAUGAUCCGCCACACUGGAACUGAGACACGGUCCAGACUCCUACGGGAGGCAGCAGUGGGGAAUUUUGGACAAUGGCGCAAGCCUGAUCCAGCCAUGCCGCGUGAGUGAAG
rnacentral:rRNA from 1 species